rnacentral:rRNA from 1 species
GAUGAACGCUGGCGGCGUGCUUAACACAUGCAAGUCGAACGGAAAGGCUCCUGCUUGCCGGGGUACUCGAGUGGCGAACGGGUGAGUAACACGUGGGUGUUCUGCCCUGCACUUCGGGAUACGCCUGGGAAACUGGGUCUAAUACCGGAUAGGACGGUGGUUUGGAUGCCAUUGUGGAAAGUUUUUUCGGUGUGGGCUGGUGUCGCGGGCUAUCAGCUUGUUGGGGGGGGAGUGGCACACCAAGGCGUAGCCGGGUAGCCGACCUGGGGAGGUGGACAGCCACAAUGGUACUAAGGGAGGGCGCAGACGGCUACUGUAGGCAGCAGGGGGGAAUAUUGCACAAUGGGCGCAAGCCUGAGGCAACGGCGCCGGGUUGGGAAUGACGGCCUGCGGGUUGUAAACACCUUUCGCUAGAGACGAAGCGCAAGUGACGGUACCUGGAGAAGAAGCACCGGCUAACUACGUG